AUAUAAGAGAAAAAAGCUCAUAUAAUUUCGCUGACAUGGCGCGAAAGUUUCUACGGAGCCGCCGAAAGGCUCUGCUAUGGGUGUU
rnacentral:ncRNA from 1 species